GACGAACGCUGGCGGCGUGCUUAAUACAUGCAAGUCGAACGGGAAGCCUAUGAAUUCGUGCGGUGGUCGAGUGAGGAACGCGCGCGUAAGACGAGCGCGACCUGAACUUGCCUUUGGGAUAACUAUAGCAAACCGGAACUCAUAUCGAUACGGAAUGCCUGCAUUAUGAUGGGGCUUGCAAAGUUUCGGCGGUUAGGGAUGGAGGCGCGGCUUACCUGACUGUAGGUGGGGUAGUGGCUUACCAAAGCUUAGACGGGUAGUGGGCCUGAGAGGAUGACCGGCCACAUUAGGACUGGGAUGCGGCCCGGACUCCUACGGGAGGCAGCAGUGGGGAAUAUUGCACAAUGGGCUGAAGCCUGAUGCAGCAACGCCGCGUGUGGUGUGACGGCCUUCGGGUUGUAAACCACUUUCGCCUGUGACGAAACGUGAGUGACGGUAAUGGAUAAAGAAGCACCGGCUAACUACGUG
rnacentral:rRNA from 1 species